rnacentral:SRP_RNA from 1 species
GCCGGGCGUUGUGGCGGGUGCCUGUGGUCCCAGCUACUUGGGAGGCUGAGGCAGAAGACUCGCUUGAGCCCAAGAGUUGGAGGUUGCUGUGAGCUGUGAUGCCACAGCACUCUACCCGGGGCGACAAAGUGAAACUCUGUCUCAA